CUCUCUCUCUCUCUCUCUCUCUCCAGAUUGUGUAUAUCACACAGAGUCAACCUUCCAUAAUUGCUUGACAAGCAACCACCUGGUGUCCCAACUGCUGCUUUUGUGUAUGUUCAAGCAAUGGCAAGAGAUUCUCCAAUAUGCCGACAUUUCGAUCCCGUGGGUUUGAGUUGCAGAGACCCAUCCAGCAUUAUGCUCUUUGGGACUGUUGAGGAUUAAAUAGUUAGAUAUUGGGCUUCUUAAACCACACUUGAUCUGCAUUGGAAAUGGUAGCCAACUUGAUGAAUUCAUGUGGUGGAUGCACAGAAGCUGUUCGAUGAAAUGCCUAGCUCAACUCCAGAAGAAGCACAGAAGCAUUUGCCAGAAUAACAUCUAUAAUAAUGAAUUUAUCACCAGGAGAGUAUUCAAGAGAAAGUUUUGCCAAGUUUUAUUGGUUAAGAUGAAGGAUGCCCUUUGAAGCACUUCAGAUUCAAUGAAAGAAAUUCGAGGUCAUUAAGAACUCACAAACAAAGCAACAGUAACAGGAGGCUGAAAUGUAUUCAUAAGUUUCAAUGGUGAAGCAAGCUCUUCUGUUGAUCAUUGGUUAAGAUGGAAGACAUGCAUAGUUAAAGCCGUAAAAGUAGAGGUUAUUGGUAAUUGGUGAAGUGAGCAGAAGAUUUACCUCCACUCUACACGGUUCUAAUUCAUUGAACAUCAUGAUCCUGUAAUUGAUCCCACACUCUGCGGACAGCUUCUGUGCCUCCCUGCAUCCCGACAACAGCACCAGAAAUAAUCCAGUUUGGAAGCACUGGAGGUCUCCCUAUGGUUUCUGUAUAGGUUUCAAUUAGUUCAACAGAAAUACAAGUCACAUCAUGAAGAAGAAAAGAUUAAGAGUUGAAGCGACUCAAAACUGUGCAGUCAAAGACAACAGUGCCACAAGACAUGAGGUUGUCGAUUGUCUUAGUAUCAGACUGGUGCUUGCAGAUGAAAAGAACAUCACCAUCCUUAAUAGCAAAAGAGCCUCUGCUCUCCUCCACCUGAGUCUGGACAGCUGCAGCAGAU